rnacentral:lncRNA from 1 species
CUGGACUGAAGCCAGAUGUCUGCAAGCCAAACAAGAGAUGAACUGAGUCUGUCCUCUCAUGGUGCAGAGGAAUUAUAUUAACCCACAGGUGGCCCAUCACCUUUACUCAAGACUAGCCUCUCACAUGAUUCACAAGAGUAUAAGGCAGAUGAAAGAUUGGUGGUGUCUCAAAUCAGUGUAACACUUGGACAGAAUUACAUCUGUGACUCUGCUUAAAGAUUUUGAACAACCAAAAAAGAGCACAUCCAGUUUGUCUGCAUUAAAACAUGGUGUAGUCAAGGACCAGAAGCUGUCAUUCCUCCAAAUGGACACCUGUUUUGCUUAAAAUUAUUUACCAGUGUGAAUAGAUGCAAGAAGGAUGAUGCAACAUUCUGGUGCAGUGUAUUAGGCAGACUGAGCCACCAUAA